rnacentral:rRNA from 1 species
ACACAUGCAAGUCGAACGGACUUUCGGGUCAGUGGCGGACGGGUGAGUAACGCGUGAGAAUCUGCCCUCAGGAGGGGGAUAACGGCUGGAAACGGCCGCUAAUACCCCAUAUGCCGCGAGGUGAAAUGAAUUUCGCCUGAGGAUGAGCUCGCGUCUGAUUAGCUAGUUGGUGGGGUAAAGGCCUACCAAGGCGACGAUCAGUAGCUGGUCUGAGAGGAUGAUCAGCCACACUGGGACUGAGACACGGCCCAGACUCCUACGGGAGGCAGCAGUGGGGAAUUUUCCGCAAUGGGCGAAAGCCUGACGGAGCAACGCCGCGUGAGGGAUGAAGGCCUCUGGGCUGUAAACCUCUUUUCUCAAGGAAGAAGACCUGACGGUACUUGAGGAAUAAGCCACGGCUAAUUCCGUGCCAGCAGCCGCGGUAAUACGGGAGUGGCAAGCGUUAUCCGGAAUUAUUGGGCGUAAAGCGUCCGCAGGCGGCCCUGUAAGUCUGUCGUUAAAGCGUGGAGCUUAACUCCAUUUAAGCGAUGGAAACUACAGGGCUUGA